GACGAACGCUGGCGGCGUGCUUAACACAUGCAAGUCGAACGGAAAGGCCCUGCUUUUGUGGGGUGCUCGAGUGGCGAACGGGUGAGUAACACGUGAGUAACCUGCCCUUGACUUUGGGAUAACUUCAGGAAACUGGGGCUAAUACCGGAUAGGAGCUCCUGCUGCAUGGUGGGGGUUGGAAAGUUUCGGCGGUUGGGGAUGGACUCGCGGCUUAUGAGCUUGUUGGUGGGGUAGUGGCUUACCAAGGCCUUGACGGGUAGCCGGCCCGAGAGGGUGACCGGCCACAUUGGGACUGAGAUACGGCCCAGACUCCUACGGGAGGCAGCAGAGGGGAAGAUUGCACAAUGGGCGGAAGCCUGAUGCAGCAACGCCGCGUGCGGGAUGACGGCCUUCGGGUUGUAAACCGCUUUCGCCUGUGACGAAGCGUGAGUGACGGUAAUGGGUAAAGAAGCACCGGCUAACUACGUG
rnacentral:rRNA from 1 species